AUCUCAGCAGAGACUCAGUCUGUGUAGGAGGAGGCUGAGAGGUCUCCUUCAGGGAUGACGCAUGCCCACAGGGCCAGUCAGUCGUUCGGGAGCCUCCACUCUUCAGAGACACGUGUGUGCGUCUGUGCAUGGCAAUGUGAAAUGUGACAAGGGCUUAGUUAACUCUGAAGAGCUGGGUCCUUGAUUCAUGAAAACAAUAGUGACAGUAAAUAUUUGUUGAGUACUUACAAGGUGCCAAGCACCACACAGCACUUUCUGAGCUUCUGCCUGUCACAUUCUUCUGCUCUCUCAAAUCAGCUGAGGUUCUGAGCACCAAGAAGAUGAACACUGAUUGCGGAUGGGUGCCAUUUCUCCAAGGAAAUUAUUCUGUUGUCUGCCUUUGACAUACAUAACACACACAAGAAAAUGAAGAACAACCUUCUAUUUUAAA